rnacentral:rRNA from 1 species
AUUGAACGCUGGCGGCAGGCCUAACACAUGCAAGUCGAGCGAGCGGCGGACGGGUGAGUAAUGUCUUGGAAACUGCCUGAUGGAGGGGGAUAACUACUGGAAAAGGUAGCUAAUACCGCAUACCAUCAGAUGUGCCCAGAUGGGAUUAGCUAGUUGGUGGGGUAAUGUCUCACCUAGGCGACGAUCCCUAGCUGGUCUGCGAGGAGGACCAGCCACACUGGAACGGGGACACGGUCCAAACUCCUACGGGAGGCAGCAGUGGGGAAUAUUGCACAAUGGGCGAAAGCCUGAUGCAGCCAUGCCGCGUGUGUGAAGAAGGCCUUCGGGUUUUAAAGCACGUUCAGCGAGGAGGCGUUACUCGCAGAAGAAGCACCGGCUAACUCCGUGCCAGCAGCCGCGGUAAUAC